AGCGAACGCUGGCGGCAGGCUUAACACAUGCAAGUCGAGCGGGCCCUUCGGGGUCAGCGGCGGACGGGUGAGUAACGCGUGGGAACGUGCCUUCUGGUCUGGAAUAACCCUGGGAAACUAGGGCUAAUACCGGAUACGCCCUUUUGGGGAAAGGUUUACUGCCGGAAGAUCGGCCCGCGUCUGAUUAGCUAGUUGGUGGGGUAACGGCCUACCAAGGCGACGAUCAGUAGCUGGUCUGAGAGGAUGAUCAGCCACACUGGGACUGAGUCACGGCCCAGACUCCUACGGGAGGCAGCAGUGGGGAAUAUUGGACAAUGGGCGCAAGCCUGAUCCAGCCAUGCCGCGUGAGUGAUGAAGGCCUUAGGGUUGUAAAGCUCUUUUAUCCGGGACGAUAAUGACGGUACCGGAGGAAUAAGCCCCGGCUAACUUCGUG
rnacentral:rRNA from 1 species